UACCAGCACCCCGAGUGGUCGGGACGUUUAUUGGGCCUAAAGCAUCCGUAGCCGGUUCUACAAGUCUUCCGUUAAAUCCAACUGCUUAACAGGUGGGCUGCGGAAGAUACUAUAGAGCUAGGAGGCGGGAGAGGCAAGCGGUACUCGAUGGGUAGGGGUAAAAUCCUCUGAUCCAUUGAAGACCACCAGUGGCGAAGGCGGCUUGCCAGAACGCGCUCGACGGUGAGGGAUGAAAGCUGGGGGAGCAAACCGG
rnacentral:rRNA from 1 species